GAUGAACGCUGGCGGCGUGCCUAAUACAUGCAAGUCGAGCGAACAGAUAAGGAGCUUGCUCCUUUGACGUUAGCGGCGGACGGGUGAGUAACACGUGGAUAACCUACCUAUAAGACUGGGAUAACUUCGGGAAACCGGAGCUAAUACCGGAUAACAUAUUGAACCGCAUGGUUCAAUAGUGAAAGGCGGCUUUGCUGUCACUUAUAGAUGGAUCCGCGCCGUAUUAGCUAGUUGGUAAGGUAACGGCUUACCAAGGCAACGAUACGUAGCCGACCUGAGAGGGUGAUCGGCCACACUGGAACUGAGACACGGUCCAGACUCCUACGGGAGGCAGCAGUAGGGAAUCUUCCGCAAUGGGCGAAAGCCUGACGGAGCAACGCCGCGUGAGUGAUGAAGGUCUUCGGAUCGUAAAACUCUGUUUCAGGGAAGAACAAAUGUGUAAGUAACUGUGCACAUCUUGACGGUACCUGAUCAGAAAGCCACGGCUAACUACGU
rnacentral:rRNA from 1 species